GACGUAGGGCGCGAGCGUUGUCCGGAUUUAUUGGGCGUAAAGGGCGCGUAGGCGGCCUGGCAAGUGGAAGGUGAAAUCCCUCGGCCUUAACCGAGGAACUGCCCUCCAAACUGCUUGGCUUGAGUCCGGGAGAGGUGAGUGGAAUUCCCAGUGUAGCGGUGAAAUGACGUAGAUAUUGGGAGGAACACCAGUGGCGAAGGCGGCUCACUGGACCGGAACUGACGCUGAGGCGCGAAAGCGUGGGGAGCAAACGGG
rnacentral:rRNA from 1 species